rnacentral:snRNA from 1 species
GUAUGUGAGGGCAACCUGGCUGUGACAUCUGUCACUCCAUUGAUUGCCAGGAUUGAUUUAGCUGAUCUGGCUGCCUAGCCUGGUGUCCCUUCCCUCCCUUACUCUCUAUGUGUGUCCCUCCCAGAGCUGUGCACUAGGUCAAAGAGGACAACCACCCCCAUUUCCUUGGUCAAGGGUAUAGGAGUAGCUGUGCAAUCCUGCCAGAACCUCCAUACAAACUCUCAGAUCCCAGCCAGCUGCAUGGACCUUUUCCUCCUAGCUUUCUGCAAAAGGACCCAACCUACCUUUCUUU